UACUUUGGUGGUUCAGUGGUAAAGUGUUUGUUUUUCUACAUAAGAUUCUUAGGUUCAAGUCCUAGUAUGGUAU